CACCGAGCUGAGGACAACUGGACGCGUGCAUCCUCAUGACACAAAGACAAAGAGCUUCUCUAUUUGUUGCAGUUGCUGAGAAACAAGACAUCUGACAUCUUCUUCGAAGAAAACGCCCAAAAUGGAAGCUGAUAUGCAGCAAUAUUUUCCAUGCUUUUCUGAAGAUGACCAGAGGGGGUGUAUUGUAAAAUGGCAAUGUGGGCAAAAAAAAAAAAAAAAGACGUGCUUGGACCAACAUCAUGUUCAUUGCUUCGUGAGUCAGGGCAGAACUUGCCGCAGGCCAAUGUGGCGAGCAGAGAUAGAGCAACACGUUUGCUGAAGACAAGCAGACAAGGCCCAUUGGGCUGCGUGGAGAUGAAAUGGGAUGGGCUUGGUCUGCUGAUCCAACACAAGCCUUAUCUUCUUCUCGCAUCCAACUCAACGUUCGACAUCUGAUGACGUCCGACACGGUGGUGAAGGUUAUGACUUUGUGACUCUUGUUUUCUUUUGACCUCACCCACCCACCCUCCUGUGUGCGCAUCAAUUAUUCAUAAUCCUCGGGUAGCUCACUUGAAACUGAUAACCCGACUUCUAUUUAUACGACUGCACAGCUGCUUCUGGCCACACCACAGUCGAGGAAGGAGUCUUUGGAUGGCUGCUCUGCAGGCAUGCAGGGGCAACUUUUGGACCAUGCUCAGAAGGCUUGCUUAUCUUAUUUGGCUAUGAGAAGGUCUGUUAAGGCAGAAAAGGGACUUUGUGCAGGUGGGGGGUGGGGGGGGGGAGACUAAAUCACUCAUUGCAUCACAGGUCAGUGUGGUUUACACUUAACAGUUUUAUUGGAAUAUUAAGACAAUGAAGCAGAAGCCAAGCACCAAGAGUGACAGCUACAUGUACUGUAUGUAGAGCAUUAUGACUCUUCCAAAUGAACAGGUUACAUUGGAAAACCUUCUCACCUACACACACUCUCUCGCAAACACAGAACAAACUGCGAAAGGUGAUUAUCCCAUUGACACACAUCGAAUCCUACCUUAGUGAAAAAGAAAACAGGUGGGUGGGGCUAUGGGAUCGAGGUAAAUGAAACGGCCGUAUUCGCUUGACAUCAGCGUGUGGCAGCGGCUGCUGUACCGGCAUAAAUUCAUUCACUGCUAGCCCAGGUAAAAUGGAUCUUUGACGUGUCGAGUCGUCACUGGCAGUGAAUGAGUUAUAAGGGCAGCACUGGUCAGAACGAACAAGGCAGUCUGGGGGAAUGCACGGCCGAAUGAAUAGCAUCAGUU